rnacentral:tRNA from 1 species
GGUCCAAUAGUGUAGAGGUUAUCACAUGGGAUUCUGAUGUGUAUGAUUUCCCAUGACCCAGGUUCGAGUCCUGGUUGGACCU